rnacentral:rRNA from 1 species
GAUGAACGCUGGCGGCGUGCCUAAUACAUGCAAGUCGAGCGAACGGACGAGAAGCUUGCUUCUCUGAUGUUAGCGGCGGACGGGUGAGUAACACGUGGAUAACCUACCUAUAAGACUGGGAUAACUUCGGGAAACCGGAGCUAAUACCGGAUAAUAUUUUGAACCGCAUGGUUCAAAAGUGAAAGACGGUCUUGCUGUCACUUAUAGAUGGAUCCGCGCUGCAUUAGCUAGUUGGUAAGGUAACGGCUUACCAAGGCAACGAUGCAUAGCCGACCUGAGAGGGGGAUAGGCCACACUGGAACUGAGACACGGUCCAGAGUCCUACGGGAGGCAGCAGUAGGGAAUCUUCCGCAAUGGGCGAAAGCCUGACGGAGCAACGGCGCGUGAGUGAUGAAGGUCUUCGGAUCGUAAAACUCUGUUAUUAGGGAAGAACAUAUGUGUAAGGAACUGUGCACAUCUUGACGGUACCUAAUCAGAAAGCCACGGCUAACUACGUG